AAGCAUAUCAAUAAGCGGAGGAAAAGAAACCAACAGGGAUUGCCUUAGUAACGGCGAGUGAAGCGGCAACAGCUCAAAUUUGAAAGCUGGCUCCUUCGGAGUCCGCGUUGUAAUUUGUAGAGGAUGAUUCGGCGAGGGCUCCCGCCUAAGUCCCCUGGAACGGGGCGUCAUAGAGGGUGAGAAUCCCGUAUGCGGUGGGUUGCCUUAGCCAUGUGAAUCUCCUUCGACGAGUCGAGUUGUUUGGGAAUGCAGCUCUAAAUGGGAGGUAAAUUUCUUCUAAAGCUAAAUACCGGCCAGAGACCGAUAGCGCACAAGUAGAGUGAUCGAAAGAUGAAAAGCACUUUGGAAAGAGAGUUAAAAAGUACGUGAAAUUGUUGAAAGGGAAGCGCUUGCAGCCAGACUUGUCCGCAGUUGCUCAACCGGUCUCCUGACCGGUGUACUCUUCUGCGGCCAGGCCAGCAUCAGUUCGGGCGGUCGGAUAAAGGCCCUGGGAAUGUAGCUCCUCUCGGGGAGUGUUAUAGCCCAGGGUGGAAUGCGGCCAGCCUGGACUGAGGAUCUCGCUUCGGCUAGGAUGCUGGCGUAA
rnacentral:rRNA from 1 species